AAGUGAAGUCGCCUGAGAACAAUGGCUGCCUGACUUCGGCGAAAGAAAGGAUAUCAAGAAAGAAGUGGUGGACUGGAUGAAGCGCUGAAGAUGAAGAUGAUGGACUUUUCUAAUCAGGAUUUCUGGAGCAAGGUGCUGCAGGACUUCCAGCUACUGUUUGGAGAAGAUAUGUCCUCUCAAUUUA